rnacentral:rRNA from 1 species
GAUGAACGCUGGCGGCGUGCCUAAUACAUGCAAGUCGAGCGAACAGACGAGGAGCUUGCUCCUCUGACGUUAGCGGCGGACGGGUGAGUAACACGUGGAUAACCUACCUAUAAGACUGGGAUAACUUCGGGAAACCGGAGCUAAUACCGGAUAAUAUAUUGAACCGCAUGGUUCAAUAGUGAAAGACGGUUUUGCUGUCACUUAUAGAUGGAUCCGCGCCGCAUUAGCUAGUUGGUAAGGUAACGGCUUACCAAGGCGACGAUGCGUAGCCGACCUGAGAGGAUGAUCGGCCACACUGGAACUGAGACGCGGUCCAGACUCCUACGGGAGGCAGCAGUAGGGAAUCUUCCGCAAUGGGCGAAAGCCUGACGGAGCAACGCCGCGUGAGUGAUGAAGGUCUUCGGAUCGUAAAACUCUGUUAUUAGGGAAGAACAAAUGUGUAAGUAACUAUGCACGUCUUGACGGUACCUAAUCAAAAAGCCACGGCUAACUACGUG